rnacentral:misc_RNA from 1 species
GUGCAGUAGAAGGGAAGUAUGUGUUCCAGGAAGAUACUCAAGAACUAAUGGAUGGUGUUGAUAACUUAAAAGGAUAUGAGGAACUCCAAUGUGUUAGCUUUUGUUGCUCUAUUUACAGUGUCUGGAAGAGGAUUCAUCGAGAUUGAAGAUCAUGGUUUCAGCAGUAACUACUUUCCUUUCAUAGUUGCAGAGGAAGAUGUUUGUUCAGAGAUCCGUAUGCUUGAGGGUGUGUUGGAGUUGGCUGAAACAGAUGCUCAUGUUACUGGAACUGGAAAACAAAAAUCAAGCUAUGGACUUCAUUCAUGAAAUAGGUUGGCUUCUUCACAGAAGCCAAUUGAAGUCCAGAUUGGGCCACUUGGAUCCUUACACAGACCUUUUCCCUUUAAAAAGGUUCAAGUGGCUAAUGGAGUUCUCCAUGGACCAUGAAUGGUGUGCUGUAGUGAAAAAACUCUUGAACAUACUGCUCAAAGGUGUUGUUGGUACAGGAGAGCACUCAUCUCUAAACCUUGCAUUAUCAGAAAUGGGCCUUCUUCAUCGAGCCGUGCGGAAGAAUUCUAGAUCUCUAGUGGAGCUUCUUUUAAGAUAUGU